UUUCAGUAGGUGACCUGCGGAGGAUCAUUACAGAAUGAAAAGUGCUUAACUGCAUUUUUUCUUACACAUGUGUUUUUCUUUUUUUGAAAACUUUGCUUUGGUAGGCCUUCUAUAUGGGGCCUGCCAGAGAUUAAACUCAACCAAAUUUUAUUUAAUGUCAACCGAUUAUUUAAUAGUCAAAACUUUCAACAACGGAUCUCUUGGUUCUCGCAUCGAUGAAGAACGCAGCGAAAUGCGAUAAGUAAUAUGAAUUGCAGAUAUUCGUGAAUCAUCGAAUCUUUGAACGCACAUUGCGCCCUUUGGUAUUCCAAAGGGCAUGCCUGUUUGAGCGUCAUUUCUCCCUCAAACCCUCGGGUUUGGUGUUGAGCGAUACGCUGGGUUUGCUUGAAAGAAAGGCGGAGUAUAAACUAAUGGAUAGGUUUUUUCCACUCAUUGGUACAAACUCCAAAACUUCUUCCAAAUUCGACCUCAAAUCAGGUAGGACUACCCGCUGAACUUAAGCAUAUCAAUAAGCGGAGGAAAAG
rnacentral:rRNA from 1 species